rnacentral:rRNA from 1 species
UACGUAGGGUGCAAGCGUUUGUCCGGAAUUAUUGGGCGUAAAGGGCUCGUAGGCGGUCCAUCACGUCGGGAGUGAAAAGCUGGGGCUUAACCCCAGUCCUGCUUCCGAUACGGGUGGACUAGAGGUAGGCAGGGGAGAACGGAAUUCCUGGUGUAGCGGUGGAAUGCGCAGAUAUCAGGAGGAACACCGGUGGCGAAGGCGGGUCUCUGGGCAGUAACUGACGCUGAGGAGCGAAAGCGUGGGGAGCGAACAGG